ensembl:lncRNA
GGGGAGAGCCCGGCCCAGAGCGCAGAGCUCCGUUCCUCCCGCAGGGCACAGCUCCGGGCGCGCAGCCAGAGCCGGCCGGCGGCACUGGGAGACUGCAGGCCCUGAGUUGGGCAGCGCGCCCAGCGCCGAGGAACUCCCGUAUAGAAGGAGCUGCGGAGCCACAGCUGCCCCACGGGACGCGGAUGAGGUAUGGAGCACUGUGAGGAAGGAGGAGAGCCCCACGGUGCCUCAGUUCCCCCAGCACUGAGCCCGUGCCCACCAGGGGGCUGCAGCCCCACACUUGCCUGCAGCCCCGCAGCUGCCCCUCAGGACGGUGGAUGAGCCCCACAGCUGCCCCAUGGGACGCGGAUGAGGUAUGGGGGGCACUGAAGAGGCGGGGAGCCCCCCCAGCACUGAGCCCCUGAGCUGCAGCCCCACAACUGCCCCCCAGCUGCCUCACAAGACACGGAUGAGCCCCACAGCUGCCCCAUGGGACGCGGAUGAGGUAUGGGGAGCACUGAAGAGGCGGGGAGCCCCCCCAGCACCGAGCCCCUGAGCUGCAGCCCCACGCCUGCCCCACAGCCCCACA